GGGUUGUGAGGUUAAGCGACUAAGCGUACACGGUGGAUGCCCUGGCAGUCAGAGGCGAUGAAGGACGUGCUAAUCUGCGAAAAGCGUCGGUAAGGUGAUAUGAACCGUUACAGCCGGCGAUGUCCGAAUGGGGAAACCCAGUGCAAUUCGUUGCACUAUCGUUAACUGAAUACAUAGGUUAACGAGGCGAACCGGGGGAACUGAAACAUCUAAGUACCCCGAGGAAAAGAAAUCAACCGAGAUUCCCCCAGUAGCGGCGAGCGAACGGGGAGCAGCCCAGAGUCUGAAUCAGCUUGUGUGUUAGUGGAACGGUCUGGAAAGUCCGACGGUACAGGGUGAUAGUCCCGUACACCAAAAUGCACAGGUUGUGAACUCGAAGAGUAGGGCGGGACACGUGGUAUCCUGUCUGAAUAUGGGGGGACCAUCCUCCAAGGCUAAAUACUCCUGACUGACCGAUAGUGAACCAGUACCGUGAGGGAAAGGCGAAAAGAACCCCGGCGAGGGGAGUGAAAAAGAACCUGAAACCGUGUACGUACAAGCAGUGGGAGCACCUUCGGGUGUGACUGCGUACCUUUUGUAUAAUGGGUCAGCGACUUAUAUUCUGUAGCAAGGUUAACCGUAUAGGGGAGCCGCAGGGAAACCGAGUCUUAACUGGGCGUUAAGUUGCAGGGUAUAGACCCGAAACCCGGUGAUCUAGCCAUGGGCAGGUUGAAGGUUGGGUAACACUAACUGGAGGACCGAACCGACUAAUGUUGAAAAAUUAGCGGAUGACUUGUGGCUGGGGGUGAAAGGCCAAUCAAACCGGGAGAUAGCUGGUUCUCCCCGAAAGCUAUUUAGGUAGCGCCUCGUGAAUUCAUCUUCGGGGGUAGAGCACUGUUUCGGCUAGGGGGUCAUCCCGACUUACCAACCCGAUGCAAACUACGAAUACCGAAGAAUGUUAUCACGGGAGACACACGGCGGGUGCUAACGUCCGUCGUGAAGAGGGAAACAACCCAGACCGCCAGCUAAGGUCCCAAAGUCAUGGUUAAGUGGGAAACGAUGUGGGAAGGCACAGACAGCCAGGAUGUUGGCUUAGAAGCAGCCAUCAUUUAAAGAAAGCGUAAUAGCUCACUGGUCGAGUCGGCCUGCGCGGAAGAUGUAACGGGGCUAAACCAUGCACCGAAGCUGCGGCAGCGACACUAUGUGUUGUUGGGUAGGGGAGCGUUCUGUAAGCCUGCGAAGGUGACCUGUGAGGGUUGCUGGAGGUAUCAGAAGUGCGAAUGCUGACAUAAGUAACGAUAAAGCGGGUGAAAAGCCCGCUCGCCGGAAGACCAAGGGUUCCUGUCCAACGUUAAUCGGGGCAGGGUGAGUCGACCCCUAAGGCGAGGCCGAAAGGCGUAGUCGAUGGGAAACAGGUUAAUAUUCCUGUACUUGGUGUUACUGCGAAGGGGGGACGGAGAAGGCUAUGUUAGCCGGGCGACGGUUGUCCCGGUUUAAGCAUGUAGGCUGAUUGUCCAGGCAAAUCCGGAUAAUCAAGGCUGAGGUGUGAUGACGAGGCACUACGGUGCUGAAGUAACAAAUGCCCUGCUUCCAGGAAAAGCCUCUAAGCAUCAGGUAACAUCAAAUCGUACCCCAAACCGACACAGGUGGUCAGGUAGAGAAUACCAAGGCGCUUGAGAGAACUCGGGUGAAGGAACUAGGCAAAAUGGUGCCGUAACUUCGGGAGAAGGCACGCUGGUGUGUAGGUGAAGUCCCUGCGGAUGGAGCUGAGACCAGUCGAAGAUACCAGCUGGCUGCAACUGUUUAUUAAAAACACAGCACUGUGCAAACACGAAAGUGGACGUAUACGGUGUGACGCCUGCCCGGUGCCGGAAGGUUAAUUGAUGGGGUUAUCCGUAAGGAGAAGCUCUUGAUCGAAGCCCCGGUAAACGGCGGCCGUAACUAUAACGGUCCUAAGGUAGCGAAAUUCCUUGUCGGGUAAGUUCCGACCUGCACGAAUGGCGUAAUGAUGGCCAGGCUGUCUCCACCCGAGACUCAGUGAAAUUGAACUCGCUGUGAAGAUGCAGUGUACCCGCGGCAAGACGGAAAGACCCCGUGAACCUUUACUAUAGCUUGACACUGAACAUUGAGCCUUGAUGUGUAGGAUAGGUGGGAGGCUUUGAAGCGUGGACGCCAGUCUGCGUGGAGCCAACCUUGAAAUACCACCCUUUAAUGUUUGAUGUUCUAACGUUGGCCCCUGACCGGGGUUGCGGACAGUGUCUGGUGGGUAGUUUGACUGGGGCGGUCUCCUCCCAAAGCGUAACGGAGGAGCACGAAGGUUAGCUAAUCCUGGUCGGACAUCAGGAGGUUAGUGCAAUGGCAUAAGCUAGCUUGACUGCGAGCGUGACGGCGCGAGCAGGUGCGAAAGCAGGUCAUAGUGAUCCGGUGGUUCUGAAUGGAAGGGCCAUCGCUCAACGGAUAAAAGGUACUCCGGGGAUAACAGGCUGAUACCGCCCAAGAGUUCAUAUCGACGGCGGUGUUUGGCACCUCGAUGUCGGCUCAUCACAUCCUGGGGCUGAAGUAGGUCCCAAGGGUAUGGCUGUUCGCCAUUUAAAGUGGUACGCGAGCUGGGUUUAGAACGUCGUGAGACAGUUCGGUCCCUAUCUGCCGUGGGCGCUGGAGAAUUGAGGGGGGCUGCUCCUAGUACGAGAGGACCGGAGUGGACGCAUCACUGGUGUUCGGGUUGUCAUGCCAAUGGCACUGCCCGGUAGCUAAAUGCGGAAGAGAUAAGUGCUGAAAGCAUCUAAGCACGAAACUUGCCCCGAGAUGAGUUCUCCCUGAGACUUUAAGUCUCCUGAAGGAACGUUGAAGACGACGACGUUGAUAGGCCGGGUGUGUAAGCGCAGCGAUGCGUUGAGCUAACCGGUACUAAUGAACCGUGAGGCUUAACCUUACAACGCCGAAG
rnacentral:rRNA from 1 species